rnacentral:rRNA from 1 species
UACGGAGGGUGCAAGCGUUAAUCGGAAUUACUGGGCGUAAAGCGCACGUAGGUGGUUUUCUAAGUCAGCUGUGAAAUCCCCGGGCUCAACCUGGGACUUGCAGUUGAAACUGGGAAGCUAGAGUAGGGUAGAGGGGUGUGGAAUUCCAGGUGUAGCGGUGAAAUGCAUAGAUAUCUGGAGGAACAUCAGUGGCGAAAGCGACUUCCUGGACCAAUACUGACGCUCAUGUGCGAAAGCGUGGGGAGCAAACAGGG